GGUCAUCCAUGAUUUGACCUCGAGAGAGGCUGGCUGGUCAUCCAUGAUUUGACCUCGAGAGAGAGAGGCUGGUCAUCCAUGGUUUGACCUCGAGAGAGGCUGGUCAACCAUGAUUUGACCUCGAGAGAGGCUGGUCAACCAUGGUACAGCACUUUGAGAUAUCAGCUGAUGUAAGAAGGGCUAUAUAAACACAUUUGAUUUGAUUGAUUUGAUUUGAUGGUUUGACCUUGAGAGAGGCUGGUCAACCAUGAUUUGACCUUGAGAGGGGCUGGGCAGAGAGUGCUGUACAAUCUGAGCCGCCACACCGUAGCAUCCAUUAUCCGGGACGUUCCAAAAAUGAGAAGAGAACUGAAAGACGACCACCACCUGGUGGUAGAGCGCGUCUAUUUUCCAGACGAACAGGAAGCUGCCAUUACGCAAAUGGUAGUUGAAAAAUAAUACCAUAUAAGACUGUAGGAAAUCCAACAACAGACGAUUGAAAAAAAAAAACCCUGCCAUCUUCCAUAACAUCAGAGUGAGUUUAUCAACCACAGCCCCCAUCCUUCAGAAACACCAUCUCCGUAUGAAGCAAAUCUACAGAGUCCCGUUUGAAAGGAAUUCCCAACGAGUGAAGGAUAAACGAGGAUCAUGGAGUUGGAUGUCCGUCCCAUCGCCCCAGGGACUGAUGUUCAGAAAUGAGGCUGGAUUCAAUUUAGGCGAAGACGAGGAGGAGAGGAAGGAACAUCAUUGGUCAACGCGCCAUCAUUGAGGUACCUUGCCAGUUCGGGGGAAAUAUCACCAUAUAAUCCACAAUGUGGUCCUCCACCGCCAUGCUACACUUGGACCAUACAACACUGCCCAUCUCCUUCAUUUCCUGAACACCUUCCCGAGACAAUCUUUUUUAGCCAGGGCAGAGAGCGCCAGGUGAGGCUGAGCAGAGAGGGCCAGGUGACCCUGAGCAGAGAGGGCCAGGUAAACCUGAGCAGCAAAUGUAUAUUCUAAUUUGGGACCAUUGCGUUUCCAUCGUGCUGCUCAGGUCAGCAACUGGUUCCAUGACCAUCCCAGGUUUACAAUUCUCUAUCUCCCACCAUAUUCCCUAUUUCUCAACACCACUGAGGAGUUGUUUUCAGCGUGGUGGAGGAAGGUGUAUGAUCGCAAACCCCAUGAAUGUAUGGCUGUUCUCCAGGCAAUGGAGGAGGCCUGGGGUGACAUUCCAGCAGAGUCCUGUCAGGGGUGGAUGAGUUAUGCCAGAAGAUAUUAUGCCAGAAGAUAUUUCUCCCCUGCUCUCUGGCCAAGGAGGAUAUCGCCCGUGAUGUUGAUGAAAAUCUGUGGCCAGAACAAAACAGACAUGACUGAUUUUGUUUUUCGCAAUGGAGUAUUUGUUUCUUGACUUAUGAUUUUUACUGUAUUUUUGCUGUUUCUUUAUCUAUUCUGUACAAUUGGUCUAACAUACAAUACAGUAGUACAAAUAGGUCUAUUUUUCAUCCUUUAUAUAUGC
rnacentral:lncRNA from 1 species